rnacentral:rRNA from 1 species
AGCAGCCGCGGUAAUUCCAGCUCCAAUAGCGUAUAUUAAAGUUGUUGCAGUUAAAAAGCUCGUAGUUGAAUUUCGGAAUCUGUCCAUCGGUCGGGCUUCACUGUCCGUACUGGUGUGGUGGGUUCUUACCUUCUGAAUAACCAGCAUGCCAUUCACUUGGUGCGCUGGGGAAGCAGGACUAUUACCUUGAAAAAAUUAGAGUGCUCAAAGCAGGCUAGUGCCUGAAUACAUUAGCAUGGAAUAAUAAAAUAGGACGGCAUGGUUCUAUUUUGUUGGUUUCUAGGAUCACCGUAAUGAUUAAUAGGGAUAGUUGGGGGCAUUAGUAUUCAAUUGUCAGAGGUGAAAUUCUUGGAUUUAUUGAAGACUAACUUCUGCGAAAGCAUUUGCCAAGGAUGUUUUCAUUAAUCAAGAACGAAAGUUAGGGGAUCGAAGACGAUCAGAUACCGUCGUAGUCUUAACCAUAAACUAUGCCGACUAGGGAUCGGACGAUGUUAAUUUUUUAAUGACUCGUUC